rnacentral:rRNA from 1 species
ACGGCGAGCGAAGCAGGCAUAGCUCAAAUUUGUAAUCUGGCGCCUUUGGCGUCCGAGUUGUAUUUUCUAGAAGCGAGUUCGGCGACAGCUCCUACCCAAGUCCGUUGGAACGCGGCGUCAUGGAGGGUGAGAAUCCCGUGAAUGGUAGGAUGUCUGCUGCUAUGUGAACCGCCUUCGAAGAGUCGAGUUGUUUGGGAAUGCAGCUCUAAAUGGGAGGUAAAUUUCUUCUAAAGCUAAAUAUUGGCCAGAGACCGAUAGCGAACAAGUAGAGUGAUCGAAAGAUGAAAAGAACUUUGAAAAGAGAGUUAAACAGUACGUGAAAUUGUUGAAAGGGAAGCGCUUGAGAUCAGACUUCCUGUCUGGACUGUCCUUGCUUUUGCUUGGGUCAACAGUCCAGGCGUGGAGGCCAGCAUCAGUUUUGACGGCCGGAUAAAGGCCCUGGGAAGGUAGCUCCCCUCGGGGAGUGUUAUAGCCCAGGGUGUAAUACGGCCAGUUGGGACUGAGGACCGCGGCUCUGCCUAGGAUGCUGGCGUAAUGGUCUUAAGCGACCCGUCUU